GGGGUCUAAGGGGAUAUUUUAAUUUUGUUAUGACAACAUUUUUAAAUUGUACAUAUGACUAUUUUUUUAUAUACUUUUCAAUUUUAUCUCAGUUAAUUUUAAGCCCACCAAGUCAAAUCGGAGACUAAAAAACUGGUACUCCAAAAGGAAAAGAUAGGUGACCCACUGUGGGCAUUUGUCUUGGUGAACUAGCACCUUAAAGUCCAGCUAACCCUCAGGCCGGCUGGCUAGUACAUUAGCAGACAGGUAUUUUUAAUACCAUUUGGCAUUUUUUGACUUUGGCAUUUUUUCAUUUGGCCUUUUGCUUUUACAUGUUGUUUUACUAUUUGGCAUUUUUUAUUUAUGUUUUUUUUUUCUCAUUUUUUGCAACAUAUUUUUUCAUCAACACACCCA
rnacentral:lncRNA from 1 species